rnacentral:misc_RNA from 1 species
AACGCACCUUGCGCUCCUUGGUAUUCCGAGGAGCAUGCCUGUUUGAGUGUCAUGAAACCCUCAAACCCAAGUUUUGGAUUUCGAUCCGUGCUUGAGUUUGGAUUUGGAUGUUUGCCGGUGAUGAACCGACUCAUCUUAAAAGUAUUAGCUUGGAUCUGUCUAUAUGACUGGUUUGACUUGGCAUAAUAAGUAUUUUGCUGAGGACAUCUUCGGAUGGCCAGGACCUAGACUACUGUCUGCUAACUAAACCAUCACUUUAAGUGCAUCUUUGGAUGUUACUCAUUGUGUAACUUUGACAUCUGGCCUCAAAUCAAGUAGGACUACCCGCUGAACUUAA